GGGAGACAGAGAAAGAGAUGGAGAGAAAGACAGAACUGUGUCGUUGCUAAUGGUUUUCCUGAUGAGUUUGACAUCUUUACAGUGGGUGGCCAUAGUGCACGAGUUUUAAAUGGAAGAACAGAAUGUUAAUUUAUAACAGUCAGAUCUCAGACGAUACAGACAGAACAGUGAUGUUCUGAUCAUGUACUUGCUGAGGACUGUUCCACAAGGACCAGAGACUGUAACCAUAUGGCAUGUGUAAGGGUACUGAAAUAACUUCUUUAGUAUAACACACUUGUGAAAUCACUGGGGAUGCUUUUGGACCAGAAUCAGAAGAUGAUCUUCUCACUAAAGCAAAGGUACGAGUUGGUGGAAUGGCUCGCCAGUCCAAACCGGACUAUGAAUAUUCGGCAAGGACACGAUUCAGGAACACAAUUUUUCAGCAAAGGAAAAUAAAUAAAAACAUUAAUAUCAUUGUUUAAAUAAAUCCAUCCAUCCAUCCAUCCAUUUUCUACCGCUUAUCCGGGGCCGGGUCGCGGGGGCAGCAGUCUAAGCAGGGAUGCCCAGACUU